ACCCCGGCCCCAUGGACCCUCCGUCCCGGUCCUGCUGGGGCAGCACUUGGGGCAGAUUCCGGUGUUUCUUUCCAGAGCUUCUUGAUGUAAAUACCAGCAACUAUGGCAUCUCUUAGAGACCAUCCCCAGGACUCCACAAAUAGAUUCCUGUCUGUCUGUCUGCCGGCUCAUCUCUCCACCACACUCGGCUACGGAACAUUCCGCAGGAUGGACGGACGGCCUCCACAAAUAGCAGGGUGACACGGACACUUGCAGCUGCCAUUUGUCACACAGUAGCGGACAACUCAUCUCCCCGCCUGCGAGUCUUGAAUUCCUCCCAAGAUCCCAGGCUUUGAUCGGAGCCCUGCGCCCACGCAGGGGUGCGCCCUUCCCCAGGGGCGGGCAGGCUGAGGCCCGCUGACUCCACCUGGAGC